rnacentral:rRNA from 1 species
GAAGGUGGCAAGCGUUGUUCGGAUUCACUGGGCAUAAAGGGCGCGUAGGCGGCUCCGUAGGUGGCGUGUGAAAGCCCCCGGCUCAACCGGGGAAGUGCGCGCCAAACCACGGUUCUUGAGGGCGGUAGGGGGGACUGGAACUCUCGGUGGAGCGGUGAAAUGCGUAGAUAUCGAGAGGAACACCGGCGGCGAAGGCGAGUCCCUGGUCCGCAUCUGACGCUGAGGCGCGAAAGCGUGGGUAGCAAACAGGAUUAGAUACCCUGGUAGUCCACGCCGUAAACGAUGGGCACUAGGUAGCGGCCGGAUCCGACCGGUCGCUGCUGACGGAAAUCCAUUAAGUGCCCCGCCUGGGGAGUAUGGUCGCAAGGCUGAA